GAUGAAGAACGCAGCGAAAUGCGAUAACUAAUGUGAAUUGCAGAAUUCAGUGAAUCAUCGAGUCUUUGAACGCACAUUGCGCCCCCUGGUAUUCCGGGGGGCAUGCCUGUCCGAGCGUCAUUGCUGCCCUCAAGCACGGCUUGUGUGUUGGGCUCCGUCCCCCCGGGGACGGGCCCGAAAGGCAGCGGCGGCACCGAGUCCGGUCCUCGAGCGUAUGGGGCUUUGUCACCCGCUCUGUAGGCCCGGCCGGGGCCAGCCGACAACCCAUCAUCCUUUUCAGGUUGACCUCGGAUCAGGUAGGGAUACCCGCUGAACUUAAGCAUAUCAAUAAGCGGAGGA
rnacentral:misc_RNA from 1 species